UACGAAGGGGGCUAGCGUUGUUCGGAAUUACUGGGCGUCAAGCGUGCGCAGGCGUCUGCUCAAGUCAGGGGUGAAAGCCCAGAGCUCAACUCUGGAAUUGCCUUUGAGACUGAGUGGCUUGAGUACGGGAGAGGUGAGUGGAAUUCCCAGUGUAGAGGUGAAAUUCGUAGAUAUUGGGAGGAACACCGGUGGCGAAGGCGGCUCACUGGCCCGUAACUGACGCUCAUGCACGACAGCGUGGGGAUCAAACAGG
rnacentral:rRNA from 1 species